GACGAACGCUGGCGGCGUGCUUAACACAUGCAAGUCGAACGCUGAAGCUUGGUGCUUGCACUGGGUGGAUGAGUGGCGAACGGGUGAGUAAUACGUGAGUAACCUGCCCUUGACUCUGGGAUAAGCCUGGGAAACUGGGUCUAAUACCGGAUAUGACAUGCCACUGCAUGGUGGUGUGUGGAAAGGGUUUUACUGGUUUUGGAUGGGCUCACGGCCUAUCAGCUUGUUGGUGGGGUAAUGGCCUACCAAGGCGACGACGGGUAGCCGGCCUGAGAGGGUGACCGGCCACACUGGGACUGAGACACGGCCCAGACUCCUACGGGAGGCAGCAGUGGGGAAUAUUGCACAAUGGGCGGAAGCCUGAUGCAGCGACGCCGCGUGAGGGAUGACGGCCUUCGGGUUGUAAACCUCUUUCAGCACGGAAGAAGCGAGAGUGACGGUACGUGCAGAAGAAGCGCCGGCUAACUACGUG
rnacentral:rRNA from 1 species